rnacentral:rRNA from 1 species
AACGAACGCUGGCGGCAUGCCUAACACAUGCAAGUCGAACGAUGCCUCCGGGCAUUGUGGCGCAUGGGUGCGUAACGCGAGGGAAUCUGCCCUCGUGUUCGGAAUACCUCGCCGACAGGCGAGCCAAUACGGGACGAUGACGUAAGUCCAAUGAUUUAUCGCACAAGGUUGAGCACGCGUAGGAUAAGAUAGUUGUUUGGGUAAAGGGCCACUACGGCGACAAUUCUUAGCUGGUCUGAGAGGAUGCUCAGCCACACUUAGAUGGAGACGCGGCCCGGACUCCUACGGGAGGCAGCAGUGGGUAAUAGUGGACAGUGGGCGGAAGCCUGAACCAGCAAGGCCGCGAGAGUUAUGAAAUCCUUAGAGAAGUAAAGCGCUUGUAACCGUGAUGAUAAUGACGGUACCGAGAGAAUAAGCUCCGGCUAACUCCGUG